UACGUAGGCAGCAAGCGUUGUUCGGAAUUACUGGGCGUAAAGCGUGUGUAGGCGGAUGGGUAAGUACCUUGUGAAAUCCCACGGCUCAACCGUGGAACUGCUCGGUAUACUGCUCGUCUUGAGCCAACUAGGGGCGACCGGAACAAACGGUGGAGCGGUGAAAUGCGUAGAUAUCGUUUGGAACGCCGAUGGUGAAAACAGGUCGCUGGGGUUGUGCUGACGCUGAGACACGAAAGCCAGGGGAGCGAACGGG
rnacentral:rRNA from 1 species